rnacentral:rRNA from 1 species
AAACCAACAGGGAUUGCCCCAGUAACGGCGAGUGAAGCGGCAACAGCUCAAAUUUGAAAUCUGGCUCUCGGGCCCGAGUUGUAAUUUGUAGAGGAUGCUUUUGGUGAGGUGCCUUCCGAGUUCCCUGGAACGGGACGCCACAGAGGGUGAGAGCCCCGUCUGGUUGGACACCGAGCCUCUGUAAAGCUCCUUCGACGAGUCGAGUAGUUUGGGAAUGCUGCUCUAAAUGGGAGGUAUAUGUCUUCUAAAGCUAAAUACCGGCCAGAGACCGAUAGCGCACAAGUAGAGUGAUCGAAAGAUGAAAAGAACUUUGAAAAGAGAGUUAAACAGUACGUGAAAUUGUUGAAAGGGAAGCGCUUGUGACCAGACUUGGGCUUGGUUGAUCAUCCGGGGUUCUCCCCGGUGCACUCUUCCGGCUCAGGCCAGCAUCAGUUCGCCCUGGGGGAUAAAGGCAGCGGGAAUGUGGCUCUCUCCGGGGAGUGUUAUAGCCCGCUGCGUAAUACCCUGUGGCGGACUGAGGUUCGCGCAUUCGCAAGGAUGCUGGCGUAAUGGUCAUCAGUGAC